rnacentral:lncRNA from 1 species
GUACCUGCCCACCGCAGACCCACCCGCUGCAAGGACCCGAACCAGCCUGGGGUGGGCCCAGGAAAUAGAAGCACCAAUGGCCAAGGUGCAGAAUGAAUUCAAGUGUCAACGGAGCCCCGAUUCAGAAGAGUCUGCACACCUGCCGCCUGCCCGCCACUGCAGGUGCCUGAGGCCACAGAGGGCGUCCAUGGCCACUGCAGACUCCACGCACCCUCAGCUCGCCCGCAACAGCCCAGCCAAUGAGAGACUGCCUCAGCUCAGCCAAUGAGAAACCACUAUGCUUUGAACGCCCAGUUUCAUCCAAUGGACUCUCUUUUUACAACAGCCCCCCCUCCAUAAAAGAGCCUCCUCUGCUUUGUUCUGCAGAUUCACCUGUGGUUUGUUCCUGUCUUCUUUGUCCUGGGUUGCAGUUCUCUGCUACUCCCAAAUAAACCCAUUUUUUGCUGGUAGAAUGACUGGUAC